GUGCCAGCCGCCGCGGUAAUACGAACUGUGCGAACGUUAUUCGGAAUCACUGGGCUUACAGGGUGCGUAGGCGGCUAUUCAGGUCAGGUGUGAAAGCCCCCGGCUCAACCGGGGAACUGCGCUUGAAACCGAGUGGCUCGAGUCAGCUAGAGGUACACGGAACUUCCAGUGGAGCGGUGAAAUGUGUUGAUAUUGGAAGGAACACCGGAGGCGAAAGCGGUGUACUGGGGCUGGUCUGACGCUGAGGCACGAAAGCCAGGGGAGCGAACGGGAUUAGAUACCCCCGUAGUCC
rnacentral:rRNA from 1 species